AUUGAACGCUGGCGGCAGGCCUAACACAUGCAAGUCGAACGCGUGGCGGACGGGUGAGUAAUGUCUGGGAAAAUGCCCGAUGGAGGGGGCUAACUGCUGGAAACGGUAGCUAAUAACGAAUACCAUCGGAUGUGCCCACAUGGGCUAAGCUAGUAGGUGGGGUAACGGCUCACAAAGGCGACGUUCCCUAGCUGGUCUGAGAGGAUGACCAGCCACAUUGGAACUGAGCAACGGUCCAGACUCCUAGGUGAGGCAGCGUUGGGAAAGAUUGCACAAUGGGCGCAAGCCUGAUGCAGCCAUGCCGCGUGUAUGAAGAAGGCCUUCGGGUUGUAAAGUACUUUCAGCGAGGAGGCGUUACCCGCAGAAGAAGCACCGGCUAACUCCGUGCCAGCAGCCGCGGUAAUUC
rnacentral:rRNA from 1 species